rnacentral:rRNA from 1 species
UACGUAGGGGGCGAGCGUUGUCCGGAUUUAUUGGGCGUAAAGAGCGUGUAGGCGGCCAGGUAGGUCUGCUGUGAAAACUCGAGGCUCAACCUCGAGACGUCGGCGGAAACCAUCUGGCUAGAGUCCGGAAGAGGAGAGUGGAAUUCCUAGUGUAGCGGUGAAAUGCGCAGAUAUCAGGAAGAACACCCGUGGCGAAGGCGGCUCUCUGGGACGGUACUGACGCUGAGACGCGAAAGCGUGGGGAGCGAACAGG